AAACCUUCCCAAGGGCGUCUGUCCUCCCCGGCCUGGGAAAGGGCCAGCGAGCCACCAACGUCUGGUGAGAGGCGGAGGUCAAAAGGAUUCUCGUGGGAGUGAAAUCAGCCAGGAGGCCUAACUCCGACUCCAAAAGGCGACGCGGCCAAACUACUGGCGGGCGAACCAAACUCCCGCCACCCAGCAGCAGAGGGGUAGGGGGCGAAGGGCGUUGUUACCCGAAGGAACUUCAUGGCCACCAGGCGGAACCCCUUCUGCUCGAACCGUUUGAUGAUCUCGCCCACCAGGCCGCGCUGCACGCCAUCUGGCUUGAUGGCAAUGAAGGUACGCUCGAGGUUGGCCAUGGUCCUGUGGAGGCAAGAAGUGUAGUCGAUGAGGCCCGGCCGACCCAAGCCGGCCCAGGAAGCCACGUGGGUUCCUGCCACCGCCGCCGCUGCGGAGGACACGUGGCUUUCCAGAUACUUCUGCCCCGCCCGGGAGGCCCAGAAAGAGGACUGCGGGAGCCUGUGGUGAGCUGAUGUCGGGGCGGGGAGUGCAUCUUAGCCUUACCGAAAGCCGGUGGGUCGGCUGGUGUCUGCGAUGAGCGACAGAAGCAAAGAGAAUAGAACGACCACCAGCCGGCGCGGAGAGAGGAGGGACGCGGGGCGGGACGAGAGACGCCACACCCCGGAGGACCCCGCUGCCCAACCCGGGACGCUCAGGCUGCCUGGUCUUGCCAGUCGUCUCUGUCCCCGCCCAAAGGCUCGCGGUGCACGCCCUCUCCUUGCAGGGCUGCGGAGGGCUGCGGGGCAGGAAGUGAUUUGUUCUCCACCCAAGUCCGCCUGUUCUUUGCAGCUAAAGGCUUCAGCUUUGGAGACCAGGUCCUGAAUUUAUUCCAGGAGACAUCUGCAUUCAAGCUUCCCUGAGACAUCCGCGCCCAGCUGGACUCUCCAUGCUCUGGGAUACCCCGAGUUUUUCCUAUCUCCGAAAUUCAGCCCUCUGUUCUUUCCUCUCUGCUUGAGCUUAGCCUUCCUCACCCAAAAUGACAACUUCCCUAGGAGCCAAGUCUGUCUCCAGGCCCCUCCUCAGAAGGCCAUCUGUUCCUGUCUCAGAAUGACUUUCGAAUUCCUAAGAUAACCCAUGCCUUUUGACACUAGGGCCAGCUCCCAGCUCUCUGUCUCCUCACCUACCUUUCCUCUAGAGGCUCUGAUGCCACCCUGAGCCUGGGAUUCCUGCCCACAGAGCACUACCUACCGAGUGUCAGGCUACCCACCUCAACCUGAGACACCCCUGGCAAGAUUCUAGAUUUUUGUAUAUAAGUUGACGGCCUGCCUAGACUUCAGAGGAAAUUCAAGGCCAGCCUGGUGAAUUUGGUACAUGAGACUACCUCAAAAUAAGAAGCAAAACCAGGUGUGAGAGAUGACACUUGCCUAUAGUGCUAGCUUUUGGGAGGUGGAGGCAGGAGGAUCAGGAAAGGACAGCCACUGCUACACAGUUCAGAGUCAGCCUGGUCUGUCUCAAAAUAUACAAAAUGGGGUGUUGGAGAGCUGGCUUUGUAGUUAAGAGCCUUCCAGGGGCCAGAGGUCAAGUCCCAGCAACCACACACUUCAGGUGGCUCACAACUAUAACUCCAGUUCCAUAGAAUCCGGUGCCUCCCAUCUCCAAGGACAUGCCCUUACGUGCACAUACCCACAUGCAACACACACACCUACACAUAAUAUGAUAAAAACAAGUUUUUAAGGAAUACAUACAAAGAGAGGGGCUGGAGUGGGUAAAGUGGUACAUCCUUGGCUACACUAGAAUUAAAGACCAGCCUCGACUACAUGAAGGUAGGGAGCACUGAAUAUUUAGCUCUGUGGUAGGUCCACUUGUGUAGCAUGCACAAGGCCUUGGUCCAACCUCCAGUACUCCAGACUCUGUAUUCUCAGAAGCCAGGCCUGUCAACUUGCAGUCUUUACCUCCUGUCUUCUUGGCAAGCCACCAGUACCCUAAAGGUGCCCUCAGUGCCCACAUCUGCUUCAUUUCCAUAUCCAGACCACACCCAAAAAAGUUGCAGUAUGUUGUGUGAACCAGCUGCUGCUUCUCCCAGCAGGCUUGGAGCCUGAGCUGGGGCCCUGAACAUCCCAGUAAAUAGGUUUAGGGCAUUGCCCAAGGCACUGAGCCUAACUAGCGCAGAUGAGUCAAAAUGCCUGAAACCUCCUUCUCCAGCUCCAUUGCAUCAGCCCUGGCUAAAGACCUGCUUGGACAGAACAGCCCUCUGCUCACUGGCCAUUAGGAUGAGCAAUUAAACUCUAAAGUUAUC
rnacentral:lncRNA from 1 species